rnacentral:lncRNA from 1 species
AGACUAUUAAAAUGCACCAACCCAAGGUCUCCAGUGCUGCUGAGUCCCCCUGUGUCACCUCCUGCAACUGCCACAGUUGUCAGGAGCUCAAAUAUUAGAGACCUUCUUCAUUAGGUCAGUGAGUAUCUAAACUUUAAAAAAUAAAUUAAGGGGUAAUUAUUAGCUUGCCCCCCAUCCCACCAAGGCCAGAUUUCCUUAAAUGUCAGUAACUUGGUAAAUAUAAAUAUGGUUUGAUUUUUAAAAGCAACAUUUGUG